CCUACGGGAGGCAGCAGUCGAGAAUCAUUCACAAUGGGGGAAACCCUGAUGGUGCGACGCCGCGUGGGGGAAUGAAGGUCUUCGGAUUGUAAACCCCUGUCAUGUGGGAGCAAAUUAAAAAGAUAGUACCACAAGAGGAAGAGACGGCUAACUCUGUGCCAGCAGCCGCGGUCAUACAGAGGUCUCAAGCGUUGUUCGGAGUCACUGGGCGUAAAGCGUGCGUAGGCUGUUUCGUAAGUCGUGUGUGAAAGGCGCGGGCUCAACCCGCGGACGGCACAUGAUACUGCGAGACUAGAGUAAUGGAGGGGGAAGCGGAAUUCUCGGUGUAGCAGUGAAAUGCGUAGAUAUCGAGAGGAACACUCGUGGCGAAGGCGGGUUCCUGGACAUUAACUGACGCUGAGGCACGAAGGCCAGGGGAGCGAAAGGGAUUAGAUACCCCAGUAGUC
rnacentral:rRNA from 1 species